rnacentral:rRNA from 1 species
CGCGUAGGCGGCCCGGCAGGCCGGGGGUCGAAGCGGGGGGCUCAACCCCCCGAAGCCCCCGGAACCUCCGCGGCUUGGGUCCGGUAGGGGAGGGUGGAACACCCGGUGUAGCGGUGGAAUGCGCAGAUAUCGGGUGGAACACCAGUGGCGAAGGCGGCUGUCUGGUCUGCAACUGACGCUGAGGCUCGAAAGCAUGGGUAGCGAACA